AUUGAACGCUGGCGGCAGGCCUAACACAUGCAAGUCGAGCGAGCGGCGGACGGGUGAGUAAUUUCUGGGAAACUGCCUGAUGGAGGGGGAUAACUACUGGAAACGGUAGCUAAUACCGCAUACCAUCAGAUGUGCCCAGAUGGGAUUAGCUAGUAGGCGGGGUAACGGCUCACCUAGGCGACGUUCCCUAGCUGGUCUGAGAGGAUGACCAGCCAAACUGUAACUGGGACACGGUCCAGACUCCUACGGGGGGCAGCAGUGGGGAAUAUUGCACAAUGGGCGCAAGCCUGAUGCAGCCAUGCCGCGUGUGUGAAGAAGGCCUUAGGGUUGUAAAGCACGUUCAGCGGGGAGGCGUUACCCGCAGAAGAAGCACCGGCUAACUCCGUGCCAGCAGCCGCGGUAAUUC
rnacentral:rRNA from 1 species